CUGCUGCAUCAGAAAGCAAAAAGAAAAUGCAGGAGAUAGAAGGAGAUGGGGAUGGGGGCAGGAAGAAACCAAACCAAGAAACUUCUGCGGAGGAUCUUGUCCUCCAGGAUCACAAACUUCCUUGGCUAAAUUCUGUCUUCCUUCUCAAACAUUUCCCAAGCAGCAUACUGUAGGCUAUUUUGGGGAAAUAUUUUCACAAAAUAUCUAAACCUUAUGUUUGCUGACAGGCUACAAAGUCUGGGUUCUAAGUAAGAAAUUUUCAUCUCACACCAGAACUUUCCAGUCCAACUGGCACUUCUGCUUCUCAUGAAUCCUGAAGAACAACAGAUGGAAUUGGGAACCUAAUUUUGACUGAGCUUAAAUCCAGCCUUAGGUAUAAUUUAAAAAAUCUCCAAUCAAUAUUCCACCGGUUUUUGAUGUUUUCAUUUGAGUGGACUGGCUUCCCUCAGGAAAAACUGGAAAAGAAAAUCACAAAGCUGGACAGUGCUGGACCCAUCAGAGUUUCAAUACUGGCAAGAGAAAGGCCAGUCCUAUGGGGAGCCCUCUUGGAAAAGAUGAAGCACUGGACAUUACAAACUAACUACUUUCAGCCCCUGGAUGAAUCUAGAAGUAUAUUACCUGACUCUUAUGGUGAUGGGGAUUUUCUAGGCCAGACUGGCAUCUUUCUCAAGUUAUAAAAAGGCCCAAACAAAUUUAAGAAGCUACAAAUGCUAGGAAGGUAAGUGUUGAUCCGUGUAACAAAGUAGUUGAAUGGUAGAGCAUUCUAGAGGUACAAAUUUGAUAGUUUUAUAUCGCAGGUCCCACCACUGGUUGUUGGGGGCCAAGCGGGGAAGGAAAGGAAUUUAGGAAAUAAU
rnacentral:lncRNA from 13 species